rnacentral:rRNA from 1 species
CUCGUUGGUGACCAGCGGAGGGAUCAUUACCGAGUUUACAACUCCCAAACCCCUGUGAACAUACCACUUGUUGCCUCGGCGGAUCAGCCCGCUCCCGGUAAAACGGGACGGCCCGCCAGAGGACCCCUAAACUCUGUUUCUAUAUGUAACUUCUGAGUAAAACCAUAAAUAAAUCAAAACUUUCAACAACGGAUCUCUUGGUUCUGGCAUCGAUGAAGAACGCAGCAAAAUGCGAUAAGUAAUGUGAAUUGCAGAAUUCAGUGAAUCAUCGAAUCUUUGAACGCACAUUGCGCCCGCCAGUAUUCUGGCGGGCAUGCCUGUUCGAGCGUCAUUUCAACCCUCAAGCACAGCUUGGUGUUGGGACUCGCGUUAAUUCGCGUUCCUCAAAUUGAUUGGCGGUCACGUCGAGCUUCCAUAGCGUAGUAGUAAAACCCUCGUUACUGGUAAUCGUCGCGGCCACGCCGUUAAACCCCAACUUCUGAAUGUUGACCUCGGAUCAGGUAGGAAUACCCGCUGAACUUAAGCAUAUCAUAA